CGCAAUAUUCGGAGUUCGUAUGAAUAAGUUAUGAAUAUUUGAAAAUUGAGAUUUUUCUAUAAAUAGGAGAAAAAUCCGAAAAUUGCAAAUGAGGACAGAAUUUCUGGAACUCCAGAAAUUUCUCCCCAUUUCUCUCCCGAGCCCAGCCGCGACCCCUCCCUUCGUCACCUUCGUUCUUCCUCCUCCGGCGACCGAUCGGCGCAAUUCCAAAGGGAAUCCUGCUUGCCUCAGACCCCUCUACACGUAUGUGGUGGUGAUUCAUCCUGGGAAGCACCGUACACGGCAGUAUAAGGCCGAGAAAUGGACUACAACGUCAAAAAUUCCAGUUUUCUGGGCUCUCCUUUGUCCGGCCAUAUCUUCCUCCACAGGCCACUAAUCGACUUGAUUCCAAAAGCAAUUUUUCUCACCGUGAAGUUUUCUACAACUUUCCAGAAGACAUCGACUUGAGAUAACCAUCGUGGUGGCCGCUAGAAGGCCGAGAAGCCGCACAGCCCGAGCUGGAAAUCGCCUUCCUUCGCCACCUUGGUUCUCACUCCUCCGGCCACCAUAGCUAGUGAUUCUUGGGGGCUUUUCUAGCCCAGAAGGCGUAGAUACUCUCCACAAAAUGAUUUGCAACGAUUUGAUUCGUGGAGAUCGAAUUUUGAAGUUUUUGAAACUAGGGUUCAUAGGAUCCUUCGACUUCCAAGGUGAUUGACGGUUUGAGUUGGCGGACGAUUGUGAAUCGUAUUUUGAGCUGUUAAGAAGACGCAGCGGGAAUUUAGAGGUGAGUAAACCUCACGUGGUUCAUAUUACGAACCGAACACUUAGAGGUGAGUAAACCUCACGGGAAUUUAUUUUGUCGUAAUUGUGUGAAAAAUAUUUAUGGAAUAAAUAUUUGUUUUAAAAUAUAUGGACUUGAUCAACUACGGUCCUUACGUAAGUAAAAUGAUUUUAACUAUACAAAUGAAUUUCACGAUGUUUAUGUUUGAACUAUAGUUGGUAUUAGUGGUCAUUCCUGAGUGGAUGAUUACGUAUAUAUAUAAUUACAUGAUUAUAUAUGGAAUGGUGUGACAUUGAGGAUUGUAGAAUUGUGAUGAUUUUAGAUAUAAUAUGGAUUGAAAUGUUUUGCGCCAUAUUUAUAUAUGAUGAUUUUGAUGGAUUAAAUGAUAUUUGAAAAUCAUAGUUGAUUUGAUGGGUUGUUUAGAGGUCAAAUGAUGUGGGGUUCUGAAGACCAAAUGGUCUAAGGUCCUUCGGUUUAACGAUAAACCGGAGUGUAUGUGUUUGAGGUUGUGGGAAAGAUCACAUGCAAUGGGAAUAACUGUAGGUUGUGGGAAUGACCACAUGCAGUGGAAAUAACUGUAGGUUGUGGGAAUGACCACAUGCAGUGAGGAUAAUUGCAGGUUGUGGGAAAGACCACAUGCAAUGGGAAUAAUUGUAGGAAAGACCACAUAGGUGAUAUUGAGAUUAGGGGAUUGAUAUGGAAUGGUGUGACAUUGAGGAGUGUAGAAUUGUGAUGAUUUUAGAUAUAAUAUGGAUUGAAAUGUUCUGUGCCAUAUUAGUAUAUGAUGAUUUUGAUGGAUUAAAUCAUGUUUGAAAAUCAUAGUUGACUUGAUGGGUUGUAUAGAGGUCAAAUGAGGUGGGGUUCUGAAGACCAAAUGGUCUAGGGUCCUUCGGUUUAACGAUAAACCGGAGUGUGUGUGUUUGAGGUUGUGGGAAACAUCACAUGCAAUGGGAAUAAUUGUAGGUUGUGGGAAUGACCACAUGCAGUGGGAAUGACCACAUGCAGUGAGGAUAAUUGCAGGUUGUGGGAAAGACCACAUGCAAUGGGAAUAAUUGUAGGAAAGACCACAUAUGUGAUAUUGAGAUUAGGGGAUUGUGGGGAUGUAUUCCUUGUUGUUUCCUGUGAGUUGGUUUGACGUUUCCCUUGUGGAUGUUGAGAUUGUUGGUUGUUUAUUUGAGUUAAAGGAAAUGUGAUUUAAUAAAUCAACCGUUUAUUCUUGUUUACUCAUACGAGCUGUCAAAAGCUUGCCGGGUUUGGUGUUGUUGCAAUCCCGGUACACUAUUCAAAUUGUGUAGCGGGUAAUCCUACAGGUCAGAAGAAUCAAGGCGGUGAUCGUGCGGGUUAGAGAAUUUGUUUUAGUUUUACAGCAAUUGUAAUUGUGAGGUGAGUUAUGCUCAUUUGAGCCUCACAAUAUAUUUUGGUGAGAGUGUGCUGUAAUAAACAAAUUUGAGAUUUGGUUUAUGUAAUCGAGUGAUGUGAGGUGUGGAUGUUUUUGAGAAAAAUUUUCAGGUUGUAUUUAAGUGAGUUGUAUUAAUUCAUGUUUCGGGUUUGA